ACACCUCAACUCUCAUGGCUCGCCAUGAUGAGCUUGGACUCUGGAGGUCUUGUUGGCCCUGUGGUCAGCUCCUCUCAAAUAAAUCAGCUUACCAGUGUUUGGUGGCAUCACAGGUGUGAUAACUAUCUACGCUUGUGGUUUUCCACCAGGUAACCUUCAGUGAUGGGGGUUCGCUGGAGCUCAUAAAUGUCUCUCCUCAGCGAGGACAGCUCUCUGAAC
rnacentral:misc_RNA from 1 species